AUGCUCCUCGCCAACCUCCUCCCGCCGCCGCGCUGCCCGCUGGCCUCCCGCACCCGCUGCCAGGCCCCGGCCCGCCACCACCAGCCCGCCGCCUCCUCCUCCCGCGGCCUCCUCCUCCGCGGCGCGGGCUCCCCCGUCGUCAAGCGCCUGCCCGCCGGCGACUGGCUCCUCUGGUACCACUCCGACACGCGCAUCUCCCUCGCCACCUCCCCCGACGGCCUGCGCUGGAGCGCGCCCGUGGCGCCCGACCCGCUGCUGCCCUCCGCCGACUGGUGGGUCUUCGACACCGCCGCCGUCCGCCCGGGCGACGUGCUCGUCAUCUCCGGCCCCGACGCGCCGGCGUCGUCCCGCCGCCCCCCGCCCUCCUCCUCCUCCGCCGUGUACUGGCUCUACUACACCGGCUCCAACGACGCGCGCCUCGCGUCGUCCCCGUUCCCCGCCGCGGACGUCGCCGCGCUGCCCGGCCUCGCCAUCAGCCAGGACGGCCGCCACUGGGCGCGCAUCGAGGGGGCCCACCACACCGGCGCGCUGCUCGGGGUCGGGGAGGACCACCCCCAGGGCUGGGAGAAGCGCUGCGCGGCGGCCCCCAAGGUGGUGAUGCACGCCGACGGGGACCUCCGGAUGUACUACCACUCGUUCGACGAAAUGUCCCAGAGGCACGCGGUCGGGGUGGCCAGGUCCAGGGACGGCAUCCGGUGGGAGAGGGUGGGGAAGGUGCUCGAGGGAGGCGGGCCUGGAUCGUUCGAUGAAGGCGGUGUGCGGCAGGGGCAUGUCGUCCGUGACCGCGCCGCCGGUCGGUACAUGAUGGCGUACGAGGGUUUGGACGGCAAUGGCGGGGUGAGCAUUGGGUUGGCCGUGUCGGAGGACGGGCUGCGAGGCUGGAGGCGGUGCAGUGAAUCACCAGCGCUGCGCCCGUCGGAGGAUGAUGAUGAGUGGGACGUCGCUGGGGUCGGCGCCCCGUGCCUGGUGCAAAUGGAUGGGCCGUAUGAUUGGAGACUCUAUUACAUGGGCGUAGGGAAGGAUGGUGAGGCUGCUAUCGGGAUGGCAUAUUCAGAGGGUCAGGGUCUUCCGAGGUUCAACAAGUGUGAUGCUCUUCUCAUGUAA
rnacentral:rRNA from 1 species